UUAUCUGUGAAUAAUGGGGCUUACAAAUGAAUGAGAUCCCUCUUUAUAUAAUAGGGGAAUCCUAAAUAAGUUACACUUCUAAUUAUAGUAGGAAAUCACAUUUGACAACUGUUUAACCGUUGUAGACCAAUCCAUUCCGUAAUUCACGCCGUGAUCUCCGGCCCGUUGCGGGUAUCUCGCUCUUUCCGUUACUGAAUCAUACCGACAUCAUUUCUAAGCACGCCUUCUUCUGACCUCGGUAAGUGUUAUCGACCUCGACCUUGGAAAGGGACUUCGACCCUAAAACUCGACGUCCUGGUCUUUCAACGUAGUAUCACUUUUUCCAUCGAGAGACAAAAUCAGGUAGCCUCAAUUUUCACCGUAUACACCUAUAAAAACAAGUGAUAUAACAAAGAAUUAGGUAUCAAAAGGAAGCUUAUAACUACAGAAUAAGUGCAGAGUAGGUUAGGAAAGUUUGGCGAAAAUGUAACAAGUGUGCUGGAGCUGAUGUUCUUUCUACGUGUAGAAGUUGUUUUAUAUAUCAAACUUGAAACAUCAGUCGACCAAUAGCAUUAAAGGCCUCCACGUUUAGGACAUAUUAAUAUACGAGAAAAUACAAGACGUGAACAACGGCAGUGAGAUGAUAUGUCAUGACACGUGGACCGGUCAAAUAGUCAAAGCAUGACAAACAGUAAGAAGACACAAGCAACAAUAGAUGCGGGAGAGAAGACACGAGCAACAAUAGAUGCGGGAGAGAAGAUACGAGUUACUAUCCAGAUGAAACGAGA